CAGCCGCCGCGGGAAUACGAAGGGUGCAAGCGUUAAUCGGAAUUACUGGGCGUAAAGCGUGCGUAGGCGGUGAGUUAAGUCUGCUGUGAAAUCCCCGGGAUCAACCUGGGAAUGGCAGUGGAUACUGGCAAGCUAGAGUGUGUCAGAGGACGGUGGAAUUCCCGGUGCAGCGGUGAAAUGCGUAGAGAUCGGAAGGAACAUCUGUGGCGAAGGCGACUAUCUGGGCCAACACUGACACUGAGGCACGAAAGCGUGGGGAGCAAACAGGAUUAGAUACCCGCGUAGUCCCUGUCUCUUAUAC
rnacentral:rRNA from 1 species